rnacentral:rRNA from 1 species
ACGUAGGGGGCGAGCGUUAUUCGGAAUUACUGGGUGUAAAGGGUAUGUAGGCGGCCCUUCAAGUCGCGUGUCAAAGUCCAGUGCUCAACGCUGGGUGUGCGCGCGAUACUGACGGGCUUGAGGGCUGGAGAGGUGAGCGGAAUUCCCGGUGUAGUGGUAAAAUACGUAGAGAUCGGGAGGAACACCAGCGGCGCAGGCGGCUCACUAGACAGUUUCUGACGCUAAGAUACGAAAGCGUGGGGAGCAAACAG